CCUUCGAUAGCUCAGUUGGAAGAGCGUGGGACUGUAAUGGAAAACAUAAGAUUGUGCAAUCCCAAGGUCACUGGUUCGACCCCGGUUCGAAGGA